rnacentral:rRNA from 1 species
UAGCAAUACGUCAGUGGCAGGCGGGUGAGCAACGCGUGGGAACGUACCUUUUGGUUCGGAACAACACAGGGAAACUUGUGCUAAUACCGAAUAAGCCCUUACGGGGAAAGAUUUAUCGCCGAAAGAUCGGCCCGCGUCUGAUUAGCUUGUUGGUGAGGUAACGGCUCACCAAGGCGACGAUCAGUAGCUGGUCUGAGAGGAUGAUCAGCCACAUUGGGACUGAGACACGGCCCAAACUCCUACGGGAGGCAGCAGUGGGGAAUAUUGGACAAUGGGCGAAAGCCUGAUCCAGCCAUGCCGCGUGAGUGAUGAAGGCCCUAGGGUUGUAAAGCUCUUUUGUGCGGGAAGAUAAUGACGGUACCGCAAGAAUAAGCCCCGGCUAACUUCGUGCCAGCAGCCGCGGUAAUACGAAGGGGGCUAGCGUUGCUCGGAAUCACUGGGCGUAAAGGGUGCGUAGGCGGGUUUCUAAGUCAGAGGUGAAAGCCUGGAGCUCAACUCCAGAACUGCCUUUGAUACUGGAAGUCUUGAGUUCGGGAGAGGUGAGUGGAACUGCGAGUGUAGAGGUGAAAUUCGUAGAUAUUCGCAAGAACACCAGUGGCGAAGGCGGCUCACUGGCCCGAUACUGACGCUGAGGCACGAAAGCGUGGGGAGCAAACAGGAUUAGAUACCCUGGUAGUCCACGCCAUAAACGAUGAAUGCCAGCCGUUAGUGGGUUUACUCACUAGUGGCGCAGCU